rnacentral:rRNA from 1 species
AUUGAACGCUGGCGGCAGGCCUAACACAUGCAAGUCGAACGAGUGGCGGACGGGUGAGUAAUGUCUGGGAAACUGCCUGAUGGAGGGGGAUAAGUACUGGAAACGGUAGCUAAUACCGCAUACCAUCAGAUGUGCCCAGAUGGGAUGAGCUAGGUGGUGGGGUAAGGGCUCACCAAGACGAAGAUCCGUAACGUGUCUGAGAGGAUGACCAGCCACACGUGAACUGAGACACGGUCCAGACUCCUACGGGAGGCAGCAGUGGGGAAUAUUGCACAAUGGGCGCAAGCCUGAUGCAGCCAUGCCGCGUGUAUGAAGAAGGCCUUCGGGUUGGAAAGUACUUUCAGCGGGGAGGCGUUACCCGCAGAAUAAGCACCGGCUAACUCCGUGCCAGCAGCCGCGGUAAUUC